AAGCUCGGCGGGGAAGAUGGCGGAUGACAAGGAUUCUCUUCCCAAACUUAAGGAUCUGGCAUUUCUCAAGAACCAGCUGGAGCACCUGCAGCAGCGUGUGGAAGACGAAGUCAAUAGUGGUGUGAGCCAGGAUGGCUCGCUCCUGUCCUCCCCGUUCCUCAAGGGCUUCCUGGCGGGCUAUGUGGUGGCCAAGCUGAGGGCCUCAGCAGUACUGGGCUUUGCCGUGGGCACCUGCACUGGCAUAUAUGCAGCUCAGACGUAUGCCGUGCCCAAUGUGGAGAAAACCGUGAGGGACUAUCUUCGGUCGCUGCGCAAGGGGCCCAACUAGCUCCAGAUCCCAUGGGGGAGGCAGGAGGAGCAGCCGGGGCCAGAGGCCGUACCUGGCCCCCCAGCUGUCACCCAUUUGCUGUCUCCACCUCUCCCACCUUCAUCCUUGCUUCCCUUCCUGCAGAGGCUGGACAGUGGCUCCUCAGCCGGCACCCUGGACUCCUUCCCUCCUUAACCCCGUGGGACUGGCCCCAAGGCGGUGGCUUCUAGGGCCAGUGGCCCUUUGCUCUUCUAGCCUUCGCUGUGGAGGCCGCAGCUGACUCCGAUUCUCAGUAUUCUCUCUGGCCAUGUGCCACAGCUCCUCUUUCCUGGGAGCCGGCUCUGAAACUUGACUCUCCCCAACCAUGUCACAAUCCCCAGCGUCCCCUUGCUAGCUCCUCAGCCCCCAAGGGUCUCAUUGGGCAUGAGUGUAGAGGACGGGGGUUUGCCAGGCCUGGGCGGCCCUGGGCAGGCGCGCUGGACCCUGAUGCUGCUCCUGUCCACUGCCACGUACGGUGCCCAUGCCCCGUUGCUGGCACUGUGCCAUGUGGAUGGCCGCGUGCCCUUCCGGCCCUCCUCGGCCGUGCUGCUGACUGAACUGACCAAGCUGCUCCUGUGCGCCCUCUCCCUCCUGGUGGGCUGGCAGGCCUGGCCCCCGAGGACCCCACCCUGGCGCCAGGCGGCCCCCUUCGCACUGUCAGCCCUGCUCUACGGCGCCAACAACAACUUGGUGAUCCACCUCCAGCACUACAUGGAUCCCAGCACCUACCAGGUGCUGAGCAACCUCAAGAUCGGCAGCACAGCGCUCUUCUACUGCCUCUGCCUCCGCCGCCGCCUCUCUGCGCGCCAGGGCUUGGCCCUGCUGCUGCUGAUGGCAGCGGGAGCCUGCUAUGCGGCUGGCGGCCUCCGGGACCCUGGGAGCCCCCUUCCUGAGUCCCCUUCCACGGCUGCCUCGGGCCCCGUGCCCCUGCACGUCACUGCUCCGGGCCUGCUGCUCCUCCUCCUGUACUGCCUCAUCUCCGGCUUGUCCUCCGUGUACACGGAGCUGCUCCUCAAGCGGCAGCGGCUGCCCCUGGCGCUUCAGAACCUCUUCCUCUACACGUUCGGUGUGCUCCUGAACCUGGGCCUGCAUGCAGGCGGCGGCCCCGGCCCAGGCCUCCUGGAGGGCUUCUCGGGGUGGGCGGCGCUCGUGGUGCUGAGCCAGGCCCUAAAUGGACUGCUCAUGUCGGCUGUCAUGAAGCACGGCAGCAGCAUCACGCGCCUCUUCGUCGUGUCCUGCUCGCUGGUGGUCAACGCCGUGCUCUCGGCCGCCCUGCUGCGCCUGCAGCUCACGGCCGCCUUCUUCCUGGCCGCGCUGCUCAUUGGCCUGGCUGUGCACCUGUAUUACGGCAGCCGCUAGCCCCCGACCGCCUCCAGCCUCCCUCCUGACCCGCGGAUGGGCGCCUCCCCUCAGCAGCCCUGUAACAAGUGCCUUGUGGGAAGAGCUGGGGAGGCGAGAGCAGCCACAUUCGGCUCUGCAGCACUCCUGCGAGACAGCCGCGCUCAUGUCCCCUGCCUCCCUCCGCCUUUUCCAGAGGAGACCGCUGAAGCUCGCAGAGGCCGGGCGACCUGCUGGUGAGUGGCAGCGCUGAAACUCAAGCCCAGUUCCGUCUGACACUAGAGCCUGGGACCUGAAUCGCUCUCCCAGACUGGCCUGUACACAAACACACUUCUUUCCCUUCCUGCUUUGUCCACGAGAGUGCGAACGGCCCCAACUUAAUCUUCCUCGUUCCACAGGGCCUGGCACGGGGUGAGGUCUGGGACUGUGUUGGCUCAAUGAAUGUGUGUCUGCUCCUUUUGUGGUCGGUCAGAGGGCCAGACCGUUUUCUGCACUCCUUUACUAAUUACAAACUUCACACGGAUUCAGAGGAUAGGAAAUCCGUCUGCUUAUCACCCAGCCUCAGCGGUUAUCAGCUCGUGAGUGUUCUUGUUUGAUCUUUUCCCUGCACUUGACUGCCCCCCAAUCUCUGACAUCAUGUCACUUCAAAGAUGCCUCAUCUUUAACGGGUGUGUGAAAACAGGCAAGCACCCUCUCUUUCCUCGUCUAUGAAUGAAACCUGCCUCCCAUCACCAUAAAUUCCGUCUGCCUCAUGGGGUUGUGGUAAGAGUCACAGCUAUCAGUCAGUGAAAAAUGCUUGGUAGGGAGUUCCUGUAUCUGACUAGUAUACAUGAGGACGCAGUUUGUGGUUUUUUGUUUUUUUUUUUUUUUUUUUGCUUUGUUUUUUGUCUUUUUAGGGCCGCACCCAAGGCAUAUGGAGAUUUCCAGGCUAGGGGUCUAAUAGGAGCUACAGCUGCCAGCCUCCACCACAGCCUCAGCAACACGGGAUCCGAGCUGCGUCUGAGACCUACACCACAGCUCACGACAAUGCUGGAUUCUUAACCCACUGAGCAAGGCCAGGGAUCAAAACUGCAUCCUCGGAGUUCCCGUCGUGGCGAGUGGUUAACGAAUCCGACUUGGCCGUGAGCUGCAGUGUAGGUCACAGACGAGGCUCGGAUCCAGCAUUGUUGUGGCUGUGGUGUAGGCCAGCAGCCACAGCUCUGAUUGUCCUCCUAGCUUUGGAACUUCCAUAUGCCUCGGGUGCAGCCCUAAAAAGCCAAAAAAAAAAAAAGCUUGGUAAACUGUUGAAGGCCUCUGAAAGGGUGAGGGGCUGCUCUUACUAUUGGCCCUGCCUCUCCAGGCUUUGGCAGCCCAGGCUUUCCGGGACCUUUCUGAAUCCUGGCCCGCCCAGAGGGUCAGGCUCUCUCUGGGCUCACGAGGGCUAGGGCUGCAGCUGGACGAAUGAGAAGUGGGGGAGGCCUAAGGCCAGAUCCUAGAGCUUCCCAAAGAGCCCCACACCCUCCCCAGGCCACCUUGAGGGUCCAGGCGAAGAAGAAGACUGCUGUAGUUGUUUCCUUCCAGGAGCCAUAGGACAAUCCAGGGCAGGGAGCCCUCCAUCUUCUCACCAACAGCGGUACCUGCGAGCACCUGCAGCAGGGGACAGUCUCUGCCAGAGGGGGGGCGGGGAAGAAAGCAGAUGUCCACUAGUGGUUGGAGAAAGAAACCGGCCCAAAUCACACUCUGAUGGAAACGUUGACUCUUUCCAGUCACUUCUGCACCACCAGACAGACCGGCCACCUUGCACAGAUCUUUAUUUUAUUAUUUUUUAAAUUACACAAAUAGGGAGUUCCCAUCGUGGCUCAGUGGUUAACGAAUCCAACUAGGAGCCAUGAGGUUGUGGGUUUGAUCCCUGGCCUGGCUCAGUGGGUUAAGGAUCCGGCAUUGCCAUGAGCUGUGGUGUAGGUCACAGACAUGGCUCAGAUCCCACAUUGCUGUGUCUCUGGCAUAGGCCGGCAGCUACGGCUCUGAUUAGACCCCUAGCCUGGGAACCUCCAUAUGCCGCGGGUGUGGCCCUAAAAGGACAAAAGACAAAAAUAAAUAAGUAAAUAAAUUACACAAAUAAUACAUUCUUAUAGUAAAAAAAAAGAAUUAAUUAUAUAUCCGACAGGGUACUUAUACCCAGAAUAUAUAAAGAGCUCUUACAUCUCAAUAAAAAGAAUACAACCCAA